rnacentral:rRNA from 2 species
AACGCGAAGAACCUUACCUGGGCUUGACAUACUGGUGCAAGCUGGUGGAAACACCGGCCCCUCUUCGGAGCGCCAGCACAGGUGCUGCAUGGCUGUCGUCAGCUCGUGUCGUGAGAUGUUGGGUUAAGUCCCGCAACGAGCGCAACCCUCGCUCCCAGUUGCCAGCGGUUCGGCCGGGGACUCUGGGGGGACUGCCGGCGUUAAGCCGGAGGAAGGUGGGGACGACGUCAAGUCAUCACGGCCCUUACGUCCAGGGCGACACACGUGCUACAAUGCCCAGUACAGCGCGUCGCGAACUCGCGAGAGGGAGCCAAUCGCUAAAAGCUGGGCUAAGUUCGGAUUGCAGUCUGCAACUCGACUGCAUGAAGCCGGAAUCGCUAGUAAUCGCGGAUCAGCCACGCCGCGGUGAAUACGUUCCCGGGCCUUGUA